CACGUAGGGGGCAAGCGUUGUCCGGAUUUAUUGGGCGUAAAGAGCUCGUAGGCGGCUCGGUAAGUCGGGUGUGAAACCUCCAGGCUCAACCUGGAGACGCCACCUGAUACUGCUGUGGCUAGAGUCCGGUAGGGGAGUGUGGAACUCCUGGUGUAGCGGUGAAAUGCGCAGAUAUCAGGAAGAACACCAGCGGCGAAGGCGGCACUCUGGGCCGGAACUGACGCUGAGGAGCGAAAGCGUGGGGAGCGAACAGG
rnacentral:rRNA from 1 species